rnacentral:lncRNA from 13 species
UUUAUAUAUUGUAUUUAAUUUAAUGUAAUGAUUUAUUUUUAUUCAGGGCAGAAACCACAUUAAAAACUUAUAAACGAAAUAAUACACCAAAGUUACAUUUGUACAAUAAAUUACAAACAGGCAAUGAAAAUGUACCUGAAAAAAUAUAUUACAAUUUGGAUGCCAAAAAACUUGUGGACAAACGAACAAAAACAGAAGUUAAUGUUCAUUCUCCAGUAUAUACUCCAGCAGAAAAAAAAGAUAUUGAAUUUACCUCACCUAUAGCUGAAGAUUUUCGUCGGUUAUAUAAAUGGAUGGAUACAAGAUUUGCAAAUAUCGAAGAAAUUAUACGAAAUUCUUUAAAAUCACAAAAGAAGGAAAAAUGUUGGUCCAAACCUUCAUUUCUUCCUUUUACAAGUGAAGAAAUUUUGCAAUUUGAUAAUGUAAAAGAGUCAAUUUAUAACGAAGUUGUUUGUUAUUUAUAAUAUAUUGGAGGAUUUUCAUUAAAAGAAGCAUUAAAUUUAUGCUUAAAAGAAACGGUCGAAGACGAAGUUAUGUCUUCUUUUACUUUCUAUGACAAUAAAGAAGAAGGAAUUUAUUCAUUUUUUAAGACAAAACUUUGCUCAGCCAUUUAAGAAGCACUCUCCGAGAAUAAACAUUUUCAGAUACAAAGUGGUACGUAGUUCCGUCACGAUAUGAUUGAAGCCAUUCGUAACGCUAAACAACAUAAAAGAAAUACAAUCAAUAAAAAGGAAAAUAGAGGGAAACGUUAUAUCAGAGAAGAAGAAAUGCAAAGAAUUUUUAUGCAGCGUCAACAAAAGCAUUUGCGAAAAGAGUAAUAAUAUAGAAAAGUCAAGAGAAAUGAUAUAGAAAAAAGGA